UUUCUAUCAUUCUUUGCAUCAUCCCUCUUUCUCAGGACUCCCUAUGAGCAUUCUGCGAAUCUGUGGACUCCUGAAGAAAAAGCUGAGAAAGGAAGCAAUUGGAAGGGACAAAGAAUGAAAUGCAGCUUCUUCACAACCAUCCACAGUUACUGUGGAAUAUGUGAAACCCAGGAGCUUGCUGCUGGCUGGGGAAGCUUGAGAAGUCAAUAUGGAUAGCAUUGUCAAAGGCUGGAGGGAGGUGCCAAGAGCCUAGAGCAAAGCAGAAUGACUGUGGACCUAUACAUGCAAAAAUCUCAUCUUUGGGCCUACAGUGCCUCAGGGAUGCAUUGUGCCUCCAUGAUCUCAAGGUCACUACUGAUGGUGAAUUAUCUGUAAAGAAAGGAUUAUUUGCCAAGAAAGAGAAAUAACCCAAACCUUUGCAAUACUGACCUGUCACAGGCUCUUGGUAUUCUGUUGAGCUGAAGGAUGGCCUGUAACAACAUCAGCUUAUUUUCAUAAGCAAUGCAAGACCUACUCCAAGCUGAGCA
rnacentral:lncRNA from 1 species